GAGUUUGAUCGUGGCUCAGAACGAACGCUGGCGGCAGGCCUAACACAUGCAAGUCGAACGCCCUAGCAAUAGGGAGUGGCAGACGGGUGAGUAACGCGUGGGAACCUUCCCAGUGGUACGGAAUAGCCCAGGGAAACUUGGAGUAAUACCGUAUAAUACCCGAAAGGGGAAAGAUUUAUCGCCAUUGGAUGGGCCCGCGUUGGAUUAGCUAGUUGGUGAGGUAAUGGCUCACCAAGGCGACGAUCCAUAGCUGGUCUGAGAGGAUGAUCAGCCACACUGGGACUGAGACACGGCCCAGACUCCUACGGGAGGCAGCAGUGGGGAAUAUUGGGCAAUGGGCGAAAGCCUGACCCAGCCAUGCCGCGUGAGUGACGAAGGCCUUAGGGUUGUAAAGCUCUUUUGGCGGGACGAUAAUGACGGUACCCGCAGAAUAAGCCCCGGCUAACUUCGUGCCAGCAGCCGCUGUAAC
rnacentral:rRNA from 1 species